UACGUAGGGUGCAAGCGUUAAUCGGAAUUACUGGGCGUAAAGCGUGCGCAGGCGGUUGUGCAAGUCAGCUGUGAAAUCCCCGGGCUCAACCUGGGAACUGCAUUUGUGACUGCAUCGCUGGAGUGCGGCAGAGGGGGAUGGAAUUCCGCGUGUAGCAGUGAAAUGCGUAGAUAUGCGGAGGAACACCGAUGGCGAAGGCAAUCCCCUGGGCCUGCACUGACGCUCAUGCACGAAAGCGUGGGGAGCAAACAGG
rnacentral:rRNA from 1 species